GGUAGUGAAAGGCCUAACCUAUCUAUGGAGCCUGAAGAUUCUACAUAGAGACGUCAAGCCUUCCAACAUGCUGGUCAACACUAGAGGUCAAGUGAAGCUCUGUGACUUUGGAGUCAGCACGCAGUUGGUGAAUUCGAUCGCCAAGACGUAUGUGGGAACUAACGCGUACAUGGCACCAGAGAGGAUAUCUGGGGAGCAGUACGGCAUCCAUUCAGACGUCUGGAGUGUGGGCAUCUCCUUCAUGGAGGUACCAGAAUAAUGUGC